AUUAAAAAAAAAAUAAAGUCUUCUACUAAGGUCACUUCCUAAACCAAAGUCUUCCGAUUUGGUAAACCUCGUGGCAAACGAGAAUCCUAAAAUCAGGGGCUGGGGUGGAAGGAAUCUGGGAAAGGAAAGGGUGUUCUCAAUAUGUCACAUCUCAGGCGCUGUACUGGAAGAAAUGCAGGCAAACCUGUCGUGGCAUCAACACACUGCAAGUGACAAAACCGUUCUCUCUGACAAGCUCUUGGGAAGCAACACAACACAGCACAUCCUUUUAAGGCAGACUCAGGGGUGGGGAGGGAAGGGGGAAGCCGUGAAGACCAAGUAAGACAAGGCAUAAAACAGAUGGAUGCAUCUGGGUUAUCAGCUGUCAUUGUGAAAACACGCAGACACACACAGUGAAACAGGGAAGCCAAGCCACAGGACUGAAGACUUCUAAGCUUGUACUUUCAGAAUAUGUGUGGAUGUUGCUACUGGUGAUCGAGGAAAUGAGUGUGUUUGCUAAUUAAAUAAAGUAUGCGUUCUUUUGGAAAUCAGUAAUUAAUUGAUUACUAAAGAUAGCCAAUCGCUGGAAGUCAUGCUUACUACCUGAAGGGAAUAACAGUGUCAAAUAAGAGCAUGUUGCCCAUUCUCAGCUUAGCUUUCUGGAAGCUCAUAAAUUAGGUAGCCAUCUGAGCCCUCCUGCAUCCCACUUCAACACUCUAAAUAUUACAUUUUUUAUGAUAGCUGAGAGUUUUCACUCUUAUGUCUGUUGACAGAGCUGCUGAUAAUGCACUGUUACAGCAAUCUGGAGUCCUCCCGGAAGUGAAGAGUCAUUGCUUUCCCAGGUCCUUCAUUGAAUCUUUAGAUCACUCAGAAGCUGUGCCUGCACUUCCCUGCCGCUGUGUCAUGCAAUGCCACCUUGGACAGAUCCAUUCUUUCUAAAGGGAGGUUCCUGCUCAGUGGUUUCCCCUCGGCAGUGUAAGUAAAAGGUGAGAAUAAUUAAAGUUGUUCUAUCAUGACAAAGGUGGUCGGACAAGACCCCCCAGCACUGCUCUCUGAUGGGUAAGUGAAUCAGUCUGCACAAGGACCCCGGGAUCUUUCGUGAAUAAAAUGUUUCACGCCCUGUGACUGCAAAUUGGUAACACUGUCUAAACCAAGAUGUUUCUGUUUAAAACAUGUGCACAAAUACAUAUACAUGAUUUUUGCUUCCAGCUGUAGAAAAACUUUCUGCCCCUAACUUCCACAUUUUCUUCAACUAUCACGUGCCCCUCUGUUUUGCCCUUCUUAACUUAAACAUCUCUCUUUUCUUCAGUCACUCCUCCUAAGAUUUAAUGCUUAUACGUUUCUGAAAUGCUCCUGCUGGUCUAGACCUCAUUUUUAAGUUCUCUUGCAUAAAAUCUACUUCAGAAGCUCGGCUCUGGUGUAAGGACUACUCUCUCACACUCUGGAAUAGCAAAGAAUGGUACUUUCUCUCACUCCCAAGACCAUGCUGUAUCCAUGUCACAAGAACGCACUGCUAUCUUAACAGAUGCAUGACACAACUGUCUUUUCAGUUUAUUGUCAAGUCCACAAAAUCUCUUUGAUGCACCGCUGCACUUCUUCAGCCUUCAUUUUACAGCUGGUAUUACAGGCCCAAGGUCAGAAGUUUAUGCUGGAGCUUAUCCUGUCUUAGUCUGUUUAUACCUUUGGUUUGUUGCUAUCUUGGUGUUUCCAUUGUGCCCUCCAGAAUAUUCCCAAUCUCUUAGUUUUUGAAUCUACACAUAAGUCAAGAGCACCAUCUCAAUUCAAGUGUGAUAUAGCUGGCUACAGUCAGANNNNNNNNNNNNNNNNNNNNNNNNNNNNNNNNNNNNNNNNNNNNNNNNNNNNNNNNNNNNNNNNNNNNNNNNNNNNNNNNNNNNNNNNNUAAGGGGGGUGCUACUCAAAGAAAGAUGAUAAAUGCCAAUGAGAGCAGGUCUGUAAGAGAUUUUAUAAAAACAUCUGAAACUUUCAAUACCUAUUUGCUCAGUAAACAAACUGUGGGCCUUAAU
rnacentral:lncRNA from 1 species